rnacentral:lncRNA from 1 species
UAUGUUAAUUUUAUCUCAAUAAAACUGAAAAAAUUAUAGCCAUUCUAAUAGCCGUGAAGUGGUGUCUUGCGGCUUCAAAAUGAGAGUUUUAACUAUGUAUGACACAUAGUACUGGAAAACUUGAAACCAAGUUGUUACCACAGUUUUAAUGAGAAAAUUCUUAUCUUUUUACCUUUCUUCAUAGAUUCUUUUUCCAUUCCCUCCUUGUAUGUGUACAAGAGUUCAUCAACUUCAUUCAGAUCCAGGAAGCCUGAGCCAUCACUGUCCCACUUCUGAAACAGGGCUUCUAGGAGAAGUUCCCGUCGGACUCUGGAAGCAUUAUGUCUAAUCUAGGAUAGAAACCGGAUAACAAAGCACAGAAGACACACUAUUUAUUGUGCUAGCUGCCAUCCUAGGUUUAUUCCCCCCAAAGUGAAGCACUAUUUCUAAAAACAGCUUUAUUGAAAAAACUUGGACUAAGCAUGAUAUUAAUGGUAAAAUGAAG